UGAAACAUUCUAAAUAUAGAGCUCGCGGUUUUGUGAAAACAUAAGGCGGACUAACUGCACAGAAUUAUUCAAUUAGAACAAUGAAGCUGGUAAUAGUCCUUGUUUUCAUAGCCGUAACAUCCGGGAUCUCUACAGCUCUGCUGACAGAUCUUUUAGGGUUAGACUGCCUCACAUGUUUACCCACAGACUUCUCGUGUCGGUUCAGGUGCCCGGAACUAUUGCGAAGGCAGCUAUGUCAACACUGUUCUCCCAGCGACCCGGUCUGCAUGCCGCUGUGUCUGAGGACUCUGAGACGUCGACGUGACAUAGAAUGUUUGAUGUGUCAUGAGAACCUUUCGUGUUUAAUUCAAUGUGGCUACGUGGGUGUUAGCGUUGGGAAAUAAAACCCAAA
rnacentral:sRNA from 1 species